rnacentral:rRNA from 1 species
UACGGGGGGGGCAAGCGUUGUUCGGAAUUACUGGGCGUAAAGGGCGCGUAGGCGGCAUGACAAGUCACUUGUGAAAUCUCCGGGCUUAACUCGGAACGGCCAAGUGAUACUGUCGCGCUAGAGUGCGGAAGGGGCAAUCAGAAUUCUUGGUGUAGCGGUGAAAUGCGUAGAUAUCAAGAGGAAUACCUGAGGUGAAGACGGGUUGCUAGGCCGACACUGACGCUGAGUGCGCGAAAGCCAGGGGAGCAAACGGG